AGUACACUUUCUGCUCUCCCAGCCGGGCACCUUCGGGCUUAGGGAUCCCUUGGAGGGAAGCCCGCCGGGAAGCUGAAGACAGUGGUCACCGCCCUCGGCCUCAGUUUCCCCAUCUGUGCUGUGAGGAGUGGAAGGAACGGGAUGACUAGGAGCCUUUUAAGACCGAGUAUUCGAGGUUCUUUCCGGCCCCGCGGAGCCAGGAGGUGCCAGCCGAGAUGCGCGUGCCGCGCGCGCCCUCCAGUGCCCGGUUCCCGCUUCUGCACGGUCCUCGCUGGGCAAGGGCGUCCCAAGAAAGGAGGAAAGGAAGAACUCCAUACAUUGUCAUUAUUGUGAACUGAUGAACAAAAGAGUCAAUAGGGAAGGGAAUGGGUAAAUAAACCUCAGAAUGAAGAAAUAA